CAGCCGCCGCGGUAAUCCGUAGGUGGCGAGCGUUGUCCGGAAUCAUUGGGCGUAAAGGGAGCGCAGGCGGGCAAGUAAGUCUUUCUUAAAAGUUCGGGGCUCAACCCCGUGAUGGGAAAGAAACUACAUGUCUUGAGUACAGGAGAGGAAAGCGGAAUUCCCAGUGUAGCGGUGAAAUGCGUAGAUAUUGGGAGGAACACCAGUGGCGUAGGCGGCUUUCUGGACUGCAACUGACGCUGAGGCUCGGAAGCCAGGGGAGCGAACGGGAUUAGAUACCCGAGUAGUCCCUGUCUCUUAUACA
rnacentral:rRNA from 1 species